UACGGGGGGAGCAAGCGUUGUUCGGAUUUACUGGGCGUAAAGGGCGCGUAGGCGGCCUCCGCAAGUCAGUUGUGAAAUCUCCGAGCUUAACUCGGAAAGGUCAACUGAUACUGCGGGGCUAGAGUGCGGAAGGGGCAACUUGGAAUUCUUGGUGUAGCGGUGAAAUGCGUAGAUAUCAAGAGGAACACCUGCGGCGAAGGCGGGUUGCUGGGCCGACACUGACGCUGAGGCGCGAAAGCUAGGGGAGCGAACGGG
rnacentral:rRNA from 1 species